rnacentral:lncRNA from 1 species
GCCUCUCCAAGUUAGCUUUUGUGGCAAUCGAAUUAAUCAACACCCUCCAAGCGAUAAUCUGUGUUGAGGGCAAAGCAGUAGUCUUCCAGAGGAAGACAAAUUCACUUUUUCCCUCCACAGGGCAUCUUAAAAGAGCAUAGACAGAUUUUACCGAGAAACCACUAUCCUUACCAGCCUUCCAAACUUGACUAUCUACAGAAUUCAUGAUAGGGGUCUUUCCAUGCACUUCUUGUAACAGCUGGACUUC